rnacentral:rRNA from 1 species
GACGAACGCUGGCGGCGUGCUUAACACAUGCAAGUCGAACGCUGAAGCUCAGCUUUUGUUGGGUUGGAUGAGUGGCGAACGGGUGAGUAACACGUGAGUAACCUGCCCUCUUCUUUGGGAUAACGCCCGGAAACGGGUGCUAAUACUGGAUAUUCACUGAUCUUCGCAUGGGGGUUGGUGGAAAGGUUUGUUCUGGUGGGGGAUGGGCUCGCGGCCUAUCAGCUUGUUGGUGGGGUGAUGGCCUACCAAGGCUUUGACGGGUAGCCGGCCUGAGAGGGUGACCGGUCACAUUGGGACUGAGAUACGGCCCAGACUCCUACGGGAGGCAGCAGUGGGGAAUAUUGCACAAUGGGCGCAGGCCUGAUGCAGCGACGCCGCGUGAGGGAUGGAGGCCUUCGGGUUGUAAACCUCUUUCGCUCAUGGUCAAGCCGCAACUGUGGGUUGUGGUGAGGGUAGUGGGUAAAGAAGCGUCGGCUAACUACGUGCCAGCACCCGCGGUAAUACGUAGGGCGCGAGCGUUGUCCGGAGUUAUUGUGCGUAAAGGGCUGGUACCCCUGGGUACGUCUGCAGUGAAUUCUUUGGCUUAACUCGGAGGUGCGCUGGGUCGGGUUGAAUUUAUUGCUCGAACGAGAGAAUGGAAUUCAUGCUUUACCAGUGCUAAUCGCAGAAUAAAGAGGAAAAACGGGGCCGGGGGCCUUUCCGCCCGUUCCACUGCUCCGACUCAACCAGGCGGCCAACCAAACAUGAUCGCCUAAACCUUCUGAGGCAUCCAGUUCAAUCUUUUGCGCAUUGGCGAAGCUGAAUGGGGAAAUUUAAUCUUUCUGAUUUAGCGUAAUUAUACCCUUCUUUCGGUAGAAGGCUGCUUA